CUCUCUCUCUCUCUCUCUCAUUUGCUGUGGGGAAAGCCAGCUGCCAUGUCCUGAGCUAAAGCCAGCAGCCUGUGGAGAGGUCCACGGGAGGAGGAACCAAGGCCUUUGGCAGCAGCCCCCCAAGUGAGCUGGGAAGCAAAUCCUCCAGCUGCAGGCAGAGGUGCCAGUGACCACCGCUCCGCCGGGCGGACAGCCUGCCUGCCCCCUCAGGACACAUGCUGGGCCACAGCCCCCCCACCCCGCCCCCGGCUCAGGUCUUCUUGGAUUCCUGACUGCCAGAAACUGUGUGAGAUGACAAGUCCUCAUUGGAGCCUGCUUAGUUUGGGAGUAACUUAGGAGCAAUAAAUUAAUACAGUCCAUCCCUGAAGCCAUCUGGGAGGGUGUUGGCAACAUCCUCAGAGGGGGUCUGGGCCCCCAGCCCUGCUUCCACCAUCGGUGACAGUGGAGUGCUGGAGCUGGCUCAUGCUGGCUUGGGAGCGCUGACUGUUAACACUUUCCGGAAUUCCAUGAGCCAGCCAACUGUCAAACACGGACCAGAACAGCAGUUCCCUUAGUUAUCUCCAUCCCUCUGUUGCUUCAAAAGUUAUGAUGAAGAGUGGCAUUGCUGGCUCACAGAGAACACGUCUACUGACUUGACAACGUGGCCACGUUGCUCAUCAGAGUAGCUGUGAGCUCAACAUCAAGAAUGUUCACAGCACGUUUAUUCAUAGUAUUUCCCCCACUGGAAACAGUUCAAGUGCCAAUCAGCAGGAGACUGGAGAAACAAAUGAUGGUAUAUCCACGUGCUGCAAUACUCCUUACAAGAAGAAGGAACAGACUACCGCUGCAUGUAACAACAUGGAUACAUCUCACAGAUACCGUGUUGAAUGAAAGAAGCCACGUGCUUAUGUGAAGUUCUAGACCAGGCAGAAUGAAUAAAGUGGAGGAGAAAUGAUGGAACCUUUGGGUGGUAGUUACCAGAGUAUGUAGGUAGGUAAAAAAAAUCCUCGAGCUAUACGCUUAAGAUUUGCGCAGUCAGUGCAGUCUACUGUAUGUGUGUUAUCCCUCGGUUCAAAAAAAUGUAGAAAAUGAAGCACGAACCAAAGUGGCUGAACCAGUUUACACUCUUACUGGCAGUGACCCUGCCAUUGAAUAGCGAGAUUUCCUUUUGUCUAUCUGAGAUGGGUGAAAUGGUACCCUACUGUGGUUUCACUGGCAUUUCCUGUUUAGUGGUGAGGUAGGCAUCUAGUGAUAUGUUUGUUGGCUAUUUGGGUUUCCACCCAUCUUUAGCCCAUUUUUCUAUGGGAUUGUCUUUUUUCCCUUAUUGUAAAAGUUCUAUAUUCUGGAAACUAGUCCUUUGUAGAUCACAUAUUCCAAAUACUGUUUUCCAGUCUAUGGCUUGUCUUUUCAGGUUUUAAAUAUCCAAGUUUUUAAUUCCAAUGUGGUCAAAUUUAUUGAUUUUAAUUUAUA